rnacentral:rRNA from 1 species
GACGAACGCUGGCGGCGUGCCUAAUACAUGCAAGUAGAACGCUGAAGGAGGAGCUUGCUUCUCCGGAUGAGUUGCGAACGGGUGAGUAACGCGUAGGUAACCUGCCUGGUAGCGGGGGAUAACUAUUGGAAACGAUAGCUAAUACCGCAUAACAGUAGAUGUUGCAUGACAUUUGCUUAAAAGGUGCAAUUGCAUCACUACCAGAUGGACCUGCGUUGUAUUAGCUAGUUGGUGAGGUAACGGCUCACCAAGGCGACGAUACAUAGCCGACCUGAGAGGGUGAUCGGCCACACUGGGACUGAGACACGGCCCAGACUCCUACGGGAGGCAGCAGUAGGGAAUCUUCGGCAAAGGACGGAAGUCUGACCGAGCAACGCCGCGUGAGUGAAGAAGGUUUUCGGAUCGUAAAGCUCUGUUGUAAGAGAAGAACGAGUGUGAGAGUGGAAAGUUCACACUGUGACGGUAUCUUACCAGAAAGGGACGGCUAACUACGU